UGGCGAUCAGGACUUCAACAUAAGAAGGUGGAUGGGAACCCAGUUCAGCUCGUAACAUCUAUGUGAGUUCUUUCUGCCGUCUGAAAGACACAGCCUGCAUAGGUUUCCGGGAAUUCACGCUGACGGAUGGCAUGCUUCUAGGGGAUGCUGAUGUGUUCCUGGCAGAGGGAUGGAUGACGAGGAGACAGGGACUGGAUUCUCCAGGGUCAAAGUCAAGCUGGGAGGGAGCAGACCCAGUCCCAGGCGAUGAGACAGUGGACCUGACUACUCUGCCUGAGGCUGAUGCUGGGGCCAGGAGCAGCCCGCUCCCCAGGAAUCGGGAAAUGCAAACACUCGGCAGCCCAGACCUCCUGAAGGAGAAACUGGAGGGCUGAGGGCAGGUGUGUGGGCCCCUUUUCCAGAUUGCCUGUGGCUGGCAGGGAGGGAGAGAACAGAC
rnacentral:lncRNA from 1 species